GAUGAACGCUGGCGGCGUGCCUAACACAUGCAAGUCGAACGAGAUGCGUAUUGGAAAGCUUCGGCCGGAAGAUGCGUUAUCUAGUGGCGGACGGGUGAGUAACACGUGGGUAACCUGCCUUAUGGAGGGGGAUAACAGAGAGAAAUCACUGCUAAUACCGCAUAAGCACACAGUACCGCAUGGUAGAGUGUGAAAAGAUUUAUCGCCAUAAGAUGGACCCGCGUCUGAUUAGCCAGUUGGCAGGGUAAAAGCCUACCAAAGCGACGAUCAGUAGCCGAUCUGAGAGGAUGACCGGCCACACUUGGGACUGAGACACGGCCCAAACUCCUACGGGAGGCAGCAGUGGGGAAUAUUGCACAAUGGGGGAAACCCUGAUGCAGCGACGCCGCGUGAGUGAAGAAGUAUUUCGGUAUGUAAAGCUCUAUCAGCAGGGAAGAUAA
rnacentral:rRNA from 1 species